UACGUAGGGCGCAAGCGUUAUCCGGAAUUAUUGGGCGUAAAGAGCUCGUAGGCGGUUUGUCGCGUCUGCCGUGAAAGUCCGGGGCUCAACUCCGGAUCUGCGGUGGGUACGGGCAGACUAGAGUGAUGUAGGGGAGACUGGAAUUCCUGGUGUAGCGGUGAAAUGCGCAGAUAUCAGGAGGAACACCGAUGGCGAAGGCAGUUCUCUGGGCCGUAACUGACGCUGAGGAGCGAAAGCGUGGGGAGCGAACAGG
rnacentral:rRNA from 1 species